AACGAUAUUUCGGUUUUAAACGCCCACACGAGUAAUCAAAUAUGAAUAAAGAACAUACUGAUAUGUAAAAUUUUUGGUAUGUAAUUUUCUAGUAUGUACAUUUAUGUACAUAUAAGAUCACUGCAAUUUAAUUAGAAAAGUAAUUAAUAUAUUUUAUUAAGUACUCUCAAAAAGCGAAAUAACCUUUUU
rnacentral:misc_RNA from 1 species